CCUGGCGGGCGCGGGGGGAGUUUGGCUGGGCGGCCCGGAAGCCCGUGUGGGGACGGAGGGGCUCGGCAGCCAGGGCUGCUUCGGGUGGGGGUCGGGCCGGGCGGAGUCCCCGGAACCGGGCCGCAGGGUGAGCGGCGGGCUGGCCGGGGGGCAUCGCAGCGCCGGGGGCCGGUGGGGGUCUGGGCCGCGCCGCCCGAGCGGGGCUCCCGCCGCUCACCUGGGACCCGGCUCCAGCGCGCUCGGGUCGGGAGCGAGGGUCCCCACCCCGUUCAGUCUCGGUUCUGCCCCAACUUCUGUCCCGCAUCUUAAGAUGGCGCCGGCUGUCGCCGGCUCAGGCCCUUUCCGGCGUUUCCGUUCCUAAUAGUGUGGGGUCUAUUCUUUGUCAGGGGGUAACUUUUGUAUCCCGUCUCGGCCUCGGCUUGGGUUCUCCCUGCCCUCACCAGAAUUCGACCUCUUGGAGUCGUCUUUUUGUGUCUUGCGUGAUACCCAGCUGCUGUGACACCAUUUUAAUUUAAAAGCUCUAGAGAGGCAGGAUGGCAGUGGUUAAGAGUGAACAUUGGGCAAAAACGUUUUAGUGUUCCUAUCGUUGAGCAAGCUUAUUCGUGGGUUUCUGUGAGAUGGUUGUUACAUAUGAACAGUAAAUAGCUUUGCCCUCAUAGUUAAGGCACCAUGUACUGUUUUAGACACGGGGAGGGCAGCACAGAAAACAUGAAGCAUCAUUCGGGUUAAAUGUAAUGUGUGAUUUUGAACAGGAUCUUGGUACACUUGUCAUAAGAUCACAAUGUGUAAUUCUUGGAAACUUUCUAAAAGAAUCUUGGUAGUUUAGUAGUUUUAGUUAAUGUGCCAGGUUGUUGAUGAUCUAAAUAUUUUAAAGGAUUACAUAAUACUGAGAUUUGAAGUCUUUUCAAAAAGACUUAACCCAGUGUUUGUGGUACAUGGUUAACUCAACCUGUAAAAAAAAAAUUAAGACUGCAUAAAUGGUUUGCUGUUUCUUUCACCCAUUACUGUCUAAUCACAUGAGCAAGUUUUUAAAAAAUACAGUAUAAUCUAAAAGUUAAAAGGCCCUGGGUUCUAUCUCCAAUAUCACACAAGGAGUGGGAGAAAGAUCCAGUCAUUUUUCGCAAACAGUUUUGAAGAGGAAUGCUUUAUUGUAAAGGGCUAGAGUGGCCAUUGAUGUCAGUGAUUUUUUUUGUUGUGUAUUUGUACUUAUGUUUAGAAGGCCUUAAAAAAGAUGUCUGUAGUUCUCAGUAUUGUACUAAAGUGCAAAGGUUUUUUUUUUUUUUUUUUUUUUUUUUUUUUUUUUUUUUUUUUUUUUUUUUUUUUUUUUUUUGAGUACUGGGGAUCCAACCCAUGAUCUAGCACUUGCCAGGCAGGCACUUAUGCCGCUGAGCUAAAUGCCCAGCCCAAUCAACUGUAGAAUGAUCCCAGAUAGGACUGUUGGACAACAGGAAUCAAAAAAGUAAAAACACUAAAUUGAUUGAUCGUGGCAAUAGAUCAAUGAUUAGGGCCAUAUAUUGUGAUUAUAUAGUAUAUAGGUUUUGGAAAAUGUUUGACUAUAGCGGUUUUUUUUUUUUUUUUUUUUUUUUUAACCCCAUGCCCCAAAUCUGACCUGAAGUAAGCCUGAAAGAAAAACUCAGGGCCAGCCUUGUGGCACAUUCCUGUAAUCCAAGUACUUGGGACACUGAAGCAGGAGUAUCACUGCCCAGUAUUGAGGAGUAUCAGGCCCAACCUGCACUUAGUGUGUUUAAGGCCAGUCUGAAGUACACAAUGAGAUACUAUCUCAAAAAAUAUAGGACUGUGGAUCUGUCCCUCUCUCAGUGCAAGGCCCAGAGUUUGGUGUCAGUAAGGGGGUAACUAACUCAGGUUUUCAGUGUGUUAAAACUACUUGAAACAACUUAUACUAAUUUGAUCUUGUAACAAAUGUAGGAAGUAGUACAGUUGUCUACACUUUCAAAUCAGAAACUAGAGCAGAGGUUAAGGGGAAGAAAAACAUCUAGGAUCCUGUGAUAGCUGGGAUUAGAACCCAGGCCAUGAGGGUCUGGCUGUAUUCUCAACUACAGAGCUAACCUCAAAAGAUGUUUUUUUUACAUGUACCACAUAUGUAAGACAAAGCCUCAGCUAUAUACCAAAUAGUCUUUAAGCCCUAUUAGUCUUCAAGACAACCAUAUGAGAGGUGAAAUACUCCAUUUUUAUGGCUGAGGUAAUGCAGAGAGGUUCCGUUAACUUGUCACACAGCUAGGAAGUGGCUGAGAUUCAAGUCAUGUACAUGUCAAAAAGGUCAAGCUCUGGACUGUCUCAGUUUCUAUAGUGUGAUUUUAGUAUUACUGAAAAGAACUUCUAGCUCAUGUUUAAGUAACUGGGGAAGUAGAUUUACUUUUAGAGUCUAGCUAAUUUGUAAAUUAAUAUAAAUUUUUUUUUGUCUUUUUUCGUUUUUACCGGUACCAGGGAUCGAACUCACGACUGCCUGCUUGCAAGGCAGGCGCUUAUGUUGCUGAGCUAAAUCCCCAGCCCCUAAUAUAAAUUUUUUGAAAGGAGUGAAUUUUAAUUCCUUAAGCGCCAGAAACUGUUUUUGCCUGUUUUAUGUAGAGGUAUCUUAGCGUGAACAAAAUACACUUCUUGUUCCUAAGCUGUCUAUAGGCUGGCUAGCCUAAGUCUUGGGUGUCUUAGUGGUAAUGUCAGUACUUGCACAUAGCUAACCAACUGAAUACAUGGAAUAGUUGUGUGACUGGGGAAUGCAGAUCGGAUAAUGACCUUACUAUUUAAUAUGAGAAAGGAUGACUGACUGUGACACUAUGCCUUCGGCAGGUCUUGGUCAUCUGCUGUGUUGAUUCCAGUUACUGACAGAUAAAAAAUUACUCAACUUUUCUUUCCCUACUGUUGUGAGCACACUCUUCUAUCUAGUGUAUGUUAAUCCUUAGGUUUACGAGCUUGUCCAGGGUGUACUCUUCUCUUACAAAUUCUCUAAGAAAUUAUUAAUGAUUCCUGUAAAGAGGAAAUUAAACUUUUAAAAUUUAACUUAAAAUUAAUAGAUUAAGUUGUCAUCAGAUUCUUUCAGUUGUUUUUGAAUAGCAACUUAAAGGGUAUUAGUGCCUGUAAGAACUGAUUAUAUAUAAUUGUAUAUGUGGGUUUUGACAUGUGGGUUUUUUUUUUUUUUUUUUUUGUCUUUUUCCUUUUUAUCGGUACUGGGAAUCGAACUCAUGACUGCCUGCUUGCAAGGCAGGCGCUUAUGCCACUGAGCUAAAUCCCCAGCCCCAUGCGUUGUAUUUCCCAGAAUGUUAAGAGUUCAAAGAACUACAUGAGGUCUUACACUUACUAAAACCAUUUUCUCUGAGAAUAGACAUAAUUUUGAAAAGUUCUGUGGGGAAUUUUGAAGUCUCUUUUUGGUAAAGAAUUAACCCAGGAUAAAAGGAUAGUUGUUUAAUCAGUACUUGGCACAAUGGUUUCAAAGGAUACAAAAUGAGGAAGACUUAUAUAGCUCACAAGCAGCUCUGUUUUGAGUGAGAAAAGCAAAUAUAAAAACAUGAAUAAAGCCAGGAUUUAGCGCAGUGGUGUAGCCUGGAAGUCAAGACCCCAGAUUCUAUUCCUGGUACAAAAAAAGUGUUAUUUGUACAAUUUAUUUUUCAAGAUUUAUAGUAGGUUCUUUUGUUUAUUCAAGACAGGGUUUCGCUAUGUAGUUCAGGCUGACCUGAAACUCUUGGUGAUCUCUGCCUGAGCCUCCCAAACGCUGGAAUUACAGCCAUACACCACCAAGCUAGCCUGUGUUAGGUUCUUGAAGACUUACAUGUCAAAGAAGUUGGGAAUAUUGAUAGCCUGUUACUAAAGAUACAUUUAUCUAAAGGACUUUUUUUUUAACCCCCUCCCCUAUCUAAAGGACUUUUUUUGGAAUACAUUUUUGUUACUGUGUUGCUUGUUUUUACAACUACUUAAUUCCCUUUGCCAAAACCAUGUUUGAAAUUAGCAAAACUAAAGUUUUCAUUACUAUAAUUGAUAGAUACAUUUGAUAUUUUAUUAGUGAAUUUACUUUAUUAGACAAGAUGUAUUCUCAGGAGUGUAUCCUUGGACUUCUUACCUGGGGAGAGAAAGAGGAAAAUGCAGUAAUAUUUUGUCUGUGGUGGUGUGAUGAACCCAGGGAGCUCAGAUGUACGUGCUUAGCUUUUUUUUUUUUUUUUUUUUUUUUUAAAUGUAAUUUUGGGCUAGGGAUAUAGC